GACAGAGGGUGCAAACGUUGUUCGGAAUUACUGGGCGUAAAGCGCGUGUAGGCGGCCCUGCAAGUCGGAUGUGAAAUCCCACGGCUCAACCGUGGAAGUGCAUUCGAAACUGCAGGGCUAGAGUCCUGGAGAGGAAGGUGGAAUGCUUGGUGUAGAGGUGAAAUUCGUAGAUAUCAAGCGGAACACCGGUGGCGAAGGCGGCCUUCUGGGACAGUG
rnacentral:rRNA from 1 species